rnacentral:rRNA from 1 species
UACGUAGGGGGCGAGCGUUGUCCGGAAUUAUUGGGCGUAAAGAGCGUGUAGGCGGUUCGGUAAGUCUGCCGUGAAAACCUGAGGCUCAACCUCGGGCGUGCGGUGGAUACUGCCGGGCUGGAGGACGGUAGAGGCGAGUGGAAUUCCCGGUGUAGCGGUGAAAUGCGCAGAUAUCAAGUGGAACACCAGUGGCGAAGGCGAGUCCCUGGACAAGACCUGACACUGAGGCACGAAAGCCAGGGGAGCAAACAGG